CAUCAAAUCUCACCGCUUCCACAACCUUGAAAUAAGGGUUUAGAAUUGGAGGGCGGCGAAGAAGAUUGAAGUGAAUGGCACUGUUUCUGUUGAGGAAAGCAAGGGUUGGUGGAGACAUUCUCAAACGAGAAUGAAGAUUUAGAAAUGAUGAAAUUGAUAGAUUGCUUGCAAGUAAUAUGUGAGGCUUCAUCUUUCGAGAGAGAACGGAUUGAAAGUGAGCGGAAGACUGCGUAGAGAGUAGAAACUAGCUACACUGACAUGAUGGUACUAAUGAGAG
rnacentral:misc_RNA from 1 species